rnacentral:rRNA from 1 species
UACGGAGGGUGCGAGCGUUAAUCGGAAUUACUGGGCGUAAAGCGUGCGUAGGCGGUUUGAUAAGUCGGGUGUGAAAGCCCCGGGCUUAACCUGGGAAUUGCAUUCGAUACUGUCUGACUCGAGUCUGGGAGAGGGAAGCGGAAUUCCGGGUGUAGCGGUGAAAUGCGUAGAUAUCCGGAGGAACAUCAGUGGCGAAGGCGACUUCCUGGCCUAAGACUGACGCUGAGGUACGAAAGCGUGGGGAGCAAACAGG